rnacentral:rRNA from 1 species
GAUGAACGCUGGCGGCGUGCCUAAUACAUGCAAGUCGAGCGAACGGACGAGAAGCUUGCUUUUCUGAUGUUAGCGGCGGACGGGUGAGUAACACGUGGAUAACCUACCUAUAAGACUUGGAUAACUUCGGGAAACCGGAGCUAAUACCGGAUAAUAUUUUGAACCGCAUGGUUCAAAAGUGAAAGACGGUCUUGCUGUCACUUAUAGAUGGAUCCGCGCUUCAUUAGCUAGUUGGUAAGGUAACGGCUUACCAAGGCAACGAUGCAUAGCCGACCUGAGAGGGUGAUCGGCCACACUGGAACUGAGACACGGUCCAGACUCCUACGGGAGGCAGCAGUAGGGAAUCUUCCGCAAUGGGCGAAAGCCUGACGGAGCAACGCCGCGUGAGUGAUGAAGGUCUUCGGAUCGUAAAACUCUGUUAUUAGGGAAGAACAUAUGUGUAAGUAACUGUGCACAUCUUGACGGUACCUAAUCAGAAAGCCACGGCUAACUACGUG